rnacentral:rRNA from 1 species
UACGUAGGGGGCAAGCGUUAUCCGGAUUUACUGGGUGUAAAGGGAGCGCAGACGGCGGUGCAAGCCAGAUGUGAAAGCCCGGGGCUCAACCCCGGGACUGCAUUUGGAACUGUGCUGCUAGAGUGUCGGAGAGGCAGGCGGAAUUCCUAGUGUAGCGGUGAAAUGCGUAGAUAUUAGGAGGAACACCAGUGGCGAAGGCGGCCUGCUGGACGAUGACUGACGUUGAGGCUCGAAAGCGUGGGGAGCAAACAGG